rnacentral:lncRNA from 1 species
GACGGGGUUUCACCACGUUGGCCAGGCUGGUGGCAAACUCCUAACCUCAGGCGAUCCGCCCGCCUCGGCUUUCCAAAGUUCUGGGAUUACAGGUGUGAGCCCACCGCGCCCGGCCUCUAUAAAGACAUUCUAAUGUACAUUUGUGAUGCUUUCUGGGCAAUGAGAAAUACCAUUUCUUGGGGGGAAAUUUCAAGAGUUAUGAAUUAAUAUAAAAGAGAAAGCCUGGCUCUAUAAGCACCUUGAAGAGGAAAACAUACUCAUGUGACUUGAGGCUACCAAUCAGAUUCACCCAAACAUAACUUUGACCCGGAAGGGACUCAGCUGAGAAAACAAGCACCACUUACCAGGUUCUGCCCGUUCUUGACCCUAAGACUAAAUUUAAAAACGUGUGGUAAAGUCUACUCAAGGGAGGAGGAAGUCCUUUAUGAGGAUCCGCUUCCCCUUAAUGAAUAAUGGUCUGCAGGAGCCACGAAAUCUGGAGCAGCCGAAAAACCACAGAAGAAGUGAAACCCCAGUUCCUGCCUUCACCGAUUGACCCUCCAUAUGACCUUCCACCACUAUGACUGGUUCCUGCCCUACCCUAACUGAUCAGUUGACCCUGGGACAUUCUUCUCCUGGACAGUGAGUCUCAUGGUCUCUCCACCAUGCACCUUGUGACCCCCUCCCCUGCUGACAACAGAUAACCACCUUUGACUGUAACUUUCUACUGCCUACCCGAGCCCUGUAAAGCUGCCCCUCCCCUAUCUCCCUUUGCUGACUCUCUUUUCGGACUCAGCCCACUUGCACCCAAGUGAAUAAGCAGCCUUGUUGCUCACACAAAGCCUGUGUAGGUGGUCUUCUAUACAAACAUGAGUGAUACUUGGUGCUGAAACCAGGGACAGGGGGACUCCUUCGGGAGACUGGUUCCCUGUCCUCACCCUCUCUCCAUGAGGAGAUCCACAUAUGACCUUGGGUCCUCAGACCAGCCCAAGGAACAUCUCACCAAUUUCAAAUCGGGUGUCCACACAGUCCCUGGUUACGCUUGAAGCAGUCCUGAGAGACAUCGCCCUUACCCCUCCAAAAAAAACUCCCCAGAAGGAAUUUAUAUUCUUUAUCUUUUCUUAUAACUUUAUAUUUUAUAAAUAAAAAGACAGGAAUGUUAGGUCUCUGAGCUGAAGCUCAGCCAUUAUAACCCCUGUGACCUGCACACAUAUGUCCAGAUGGCCUGCAGGAGCCAAGAAAUCUGCAGCAGCCGAAAAACCACAAAAGAAGUGAAACCUCAGUUCCUGCCUUCACCGAUUGACCCUCCAUAUGACCUUCCACCACUAUGACUCGUUCCUGCCCUACCCUAACUGAUCAGUUGACCCUGGGACAUUCUUCUCCUGGACAGUGAGUCUCAUGGUCUCUCCACCAUGCACCUUGUGACCCCCUCCCCUGCUGACAACAGAUAACCACCUUUGACUGUAACUUUCCACUGCCUACCCGAGCCCUAUAAAGCUGCCCCUCCCCUAUCUCCCUUUGCUGACUCUCUUUUCGGACUCAGCCCACUUGCACCCAAGUGAAUAAGCAGCCUUGUUGCUCACACAAAGCCUGUGCAGGUGGUCUUCUAUACGGACUCGUGUGACAAGCUUGCCUUUCCCUUUUCAAUACUUUGUUUCCACUAUGCUUAUGCCCGGAUGAUAUAGUUCUAUUUUUAUAAUCUUUCAGGUGUAAAAUAAAAUUCUAAUAUGAUGUGCAUCUAUCACAUGAGCAAUUUUUCCUCUGAGAUUUAAAUAACUGUUGCAGUUUCUCAAAAGAAAAGUACUUUUUAAGAACAACAAUUAAUUUGAGGCCUAUUUUAAAGUACUCCUAUUAUUCCAAAUGGCACAGGUAUGCUGAGCAGGGAAGUUGUCUUCACAGAAAUAAAAAGGAAGAAAAACAAAACCCCCUUUUGGAUUCGCAAUGCCUGACAGGCGUUGUGUUUAAUCCUCACAUCCUAACAUGCUGGUAUUUCUCUAGACCCAUGCCUAAAUUUUGUGGCAUACACAUGGGCUAAAGAGAUCUAUGGCUCUAAAAAGUUAUAUUAUUUAAAGGCAUGCAUACAUUUUAAAAGCCUGGAAAUUCAUUAUUUAAUAGCCUCCCCUCUGAUGAAAUCCUCUUUUAGGAGAUUUUGAAUAUUUCUUCAAAACAUUAGUUAAUAUAAAACAAGAUGAAAGUAACUGGAUAUCAUCCAGAUAAAUAGGAUGGAUUAUUUUCUUUCUACUAGUAUCAAAAUUUUCAAUAGCUUCUUAGUUUAUCAAAUAUAUGUUGUAUUUUAAAAAGUGCUACAACUUAAUCAUUAUUUUGAGGAACAAAUAUAAAACGUGACCCCACUCUUCUCACACUUUAUAAUGAUGUUCAUGGGGUAGCAUGAGAACAGGUUUCCAGGCUUUCUUCCUCAGGAUUAUCAAUGUAGAACUGUUUCCCUUUUUGCACUGGUUUUAUGGGAGCACAGAGCCUUCCUUGCUUAGAACAUGCAUCUUUUAAUGAAAGAGAUAUAUCACUUUUCACAUGUCAGUCAUGUCACAAAAAUUACUGUGAGUUGCUAGAACGGUUGCCUAAUUUGAGAUGAGGAAAAUCACCUGUCACCACUGACACAGAAUAUAAAGUGGCAAGGUCAAAUGGUACAUUAUACUUAUAAGGCAAAUUGUCUGUAUCAUUCUUGAAAAGUUAAUAUGUUACUGAAAAACUUAAAUUCUUAUUAUUUUGAUCAUAUGAAAGGACAGUUUGAAACAUUUACAAUCAUAAUAUUUGAAACAAAGGACUUGUUUCCCACUCUCUGAUGACAAUGGUCAGAUUACCAGGGCAACCUCCAAAAGUGUGCAUGUCAAGUAAGAGACUGGAUGUUUCUAAGGCUGCCGAGGAAAUCAGUCAUAACUCAACUGGAAAGGUCAGAGUUUUAUGCUUUGAGUUUUUCACUAAUUCAGAAAUCAAAUUGUCACUCUUUUCACCAAAAGUGAAGAGUAUGAAUUCAGCAUUCAGCUAUUGUAUGGAGAAGCUUAUUGCAGAGAAGAAAAGGAGAACAGAAUGAAAGGUCUAAUUGGGAGGAGGAAGGUUGUGGAAUAGGACACUCUUGUAGACAAAGAUAUGUCCUGAUUAAGUGAGGCCAGGAGAGGCAGGGCGUAAGAGGAAACAGUACCUUCUACUUACUAAGAGCUCAGGUUCUGGUGUUGAAAAGAAACGGGUUUAACUCCUGCCUAAACUCUUACCAG